ACCGUGGCUUUAGAUUGUUACUGUGUGGAUGGGAGUGGUAACAGUCUACAGCCAUGGUUG
rnacentral:pre_miRNA from 1 species